rnacentral:rRNA from 1 species
AUUGAACGCUGGCGGCAGGCCUAACAAAUGCAAGUCGAGCGGAGCGGCGGACGGGUGAGUAAUGCCUAGGAAUCUGCCUGGUAGUGGGGGCUAACGUCCGGAAACGGGCGCUAAUACCGCAUACUAUCAGAUGAGCCUAGGUCGGAUUAGCUAGUUGGUGGGGUAAAGGCCUACAAAGGCGACGAUCCCUAACUGGUCUGAGGGGAUGAUCAGUCACAAUGUAACUGAGACACGGUCCCGACUCCUACGUGAGGCAGAAGUGGGGAAUAUUGGACAAUGGGCGAAAGCCUGAUCCAGCCAUGCCGCGUGUGUGAAGAAGUUCUUCGGAUUUUAAAGCACUUUAAGUUGGGAGGCGUUACCAACAGAAUAAGCACCGGCUAACUUCGAGCCAGCAGCCGCGGUAAUAC